rnacentral:rRNA from 1 species
AUGCGGUUAGCGCGAACCGUAAGAUCUGCGUGCGAGUGUGUACCGAACCAACUGUUGCAGCAAAAAAAACACGUUUUGUUACAACCGUUGUACAAAACAGUCACAACGAGAAAAACAGGGGAGCUGGAUCCCCCGCGUCUGCCCGUCCCCGAUCCGCGGCGGCAGCGGCCGGAUCCGCCUGUUUUAAGUUUCCCACGGCCGAAUCACGUCGAGGAGGGGCUUCCCCAUAUAUCAAGCGGCCUUGGAAUUGCUUCAAUCAUGUCUUACAUCCAUAAUGACCUCCUUGCCUCCAUGGAUUUGGGCUUGAGCUUCGCUGCCGUUCAUGGCCGAAGUCCCCUGAGGCGGCAAGGCCCUGGUGGUAGUGGACCGGUGCUGCAACGGUACUACAACCCUGGUGUGGUCUUCCAAGAUGCAGCAUGGUAUGGCCGGGAUGAAAUUGAUCUGAAUGUUGUUGUGGAGCCAUCGAUUUUCCUUAAUGAUGAUAUGCAAAAUGUUGCGUACGAAGAAGAAGAUGAUGGCAUUGAUCUGAAUGAUACUCCGGGACAUGAUAGUGACGAUUCCUUGCGGCUGAACACGGAUGGUGCAGCUCCAAACCAUUGCAAUGCCUGUGUGACCGGUGACAAUGCCAAUGAAAAUGCUGCAACACUUGUUGAUGAACCAGACGAAGAUAUAUCAUCAUAG